UACGGGGGGGGCAAGCGUUGUUCGGAAUUACUGGGCGUAAAGGGCUCGUAGGUGGCCAACUAAGUCGGACGUGAAAUCCCCCAGCUUAACUGGGGAACUGCGUCCGAUACUGGAUGGCUUGAGUUUGGGAGAGGGAUGCGGAAUUCCAGGUGUAGCGGUGAAAUGCGUAGAUAUCUGGAGGAACACCGGUGGCGAAGGCGGCAUCCUGGACCAACACUGACACUGAGGAGCGAAAGCCAGGGGAGCAAACGGG
rnacentral:rRNA from 1 species